rnacentral:rRNA from 1 species
GAUGAACGCUGGCGGCGUGCUUAACACAUGCAAGUCGAACGAAGCACCUUGAUUUGAUUCUUCGGAUGAAGAUCUUGGUGACUGAGUGGCGGACGGGUGAGUAACGCGUGGGUAACCUGCCUCAUACAGGGGGAUAACAGUUAGAAAUGACUGCUAAUACCGCAUAAGACCACAGCACCGCAUGGUGCAGGGGUAAAAACUCCGGUGGUAUGAGAUGGACCCGCGUCUGAUUAGGUAGUUGGUGGGGUAACGGCCUACCAAGCCGACGAUCAGUAGCCGACCUGAGAGGGUGACCGGCCACAUUGGGACUGAGACACGGCCCAAACUCCUACGGGAGGCAGCAGUGGGGAAUAUUGCACAAUGGGGGAAACCCUGAUGCAGCGACGCCGCGUGAGCGAUGAAGUAUUUCGGUAUGUAAAGCUCUAUCAGCAGGGAAGAAAAUGACGGUACCUGACUAAGAAGCACCGGCUAAAUACGUGCCAGCCGCCGCGGUAA